rnacentral:lncRNA from 1 species
AUUGAAGAUUCACUUACACUCUAUGGGUAUUAUCCUUUCGAGUGGAUGAAUGAGUAUCCAUACACCAUUGAUCAUUAUGGACUUCAUUUCGGACUCCAUAGCUCCAAGCCAUUAAUCAGAGUUGAACCUCUGCAUGGCAUCCAUAUAGAUGAUUAGAUCUUUGUUGUUCUCAUUAAGUUCAAUAGGAUCACGUCUCGGAUCUAGAUACCGAAGUGCCUAUCCGAUGGAUGCAGUACUCUAUCGGAUCUUCUUGAUGGUGCUUUUACCAUAAGUUUCAGAUUUGAUCUAAUUAAAUUUGAU